UACGGAGGGGGCGAGCGUUGUUCGGAAUCAUUGGGCGUAAAGGGCGCGUAGGCGGCCGUCCAAGUCGGGUGUGAAAUCCCUCGGCUCAACCGAGGAACUGCACUCGAUACUGGUCGGCUAGAGUCCGGGAGGGGAUGGUGGAAUUCCCAGUGUAGCGGUGAAAUGCGUAGAUAUCUGGAGGAACACCGGUGGCGAAGGCGGCAUCCUGGACCGGCAUUGACGCUGAGGAGCGAAAGCCAGGGGAGCAAACGGG
rnacentral:rRNA from 1 species